AACUCAAGUUCAAAGCUGAUCAAAGUCAGACAGAGUGCUUUUACAAGAAGCAGGGAUGUGAUAACACCUUGUAAUUUCUCUCUUAUAAAUACAAUAACCUGGGUAUUGGAUACCAGAAGUCCUAUUCAUAUUUGCAAUUCAUUACAGGGUCUUUAGGUUACUAGGAGAUUUGAAGAAGGUGAGAGAUUCUUGAAUGUUGGAGAUGGA
rnacentral:lncRNA from 1 species